rnacentral:rRNA from 1 species
UACGGGGGGGGCAAGCGUUGUUCGGAAUUACUGGGCGUAAAGGGCUCGUAGGUGGCCAACUAAGUCAGACGUGAAAUCCCUCGGCUUAACCGGGGAACUGCGUCUGAUACUGGAUGGCUUGAGUUUGGGAGAGGGACGCGGAAUUCCAGGUGUAGCGGUGAAAUGCGUAGAUAUCUGGAGGAACACCGGUGGCGAAGGCGGCCCGCUGGGCUGUGGCUGACGCUGAGGCGCGACAGCGUGGGGAGCAAACAGG